rnacentral:rRNA from 1 species
AGUGAACGCUGGCGGUAGGCCUAACACGUGCAAGUCGAACGGCAGCACAGUAAGAGCUUGCCCUUACGGGUGGCGAGUGGCGGACGGGUGAGGAAUACAUCGGAAUCUACUUUUUCGUGGGGGAUAACGUAGGGAGACUUACGCUAAUACCGCAUACGACCUACGGGUGAAAGCAGGGGAUCUUCGGACCUUGCGCGAUUGAAUGAGCCGAUGUCGGAUUAGCUAGUUGGCGGGGUAAAGGCCCACCAAGGCGACGAUCCGUAGCUGGUCUGAGAGGAUGAUCAGCCACACGGGAACUGAGACACGGUCCAGACUCCUACGGGAGGCAGCAGUGGGGAAUAUUGGACAAUGGGCGCAAGCCUGAUCCAGCCAUACCGCGUGGGUGAAGAAGGCCUUCGGGUUGUAAAGCCCUUUUGUUGGGAAAGAAAAGCAGCAGGUUAAUACCCCGCUGUUCUGACGGUACCCAAAGAAUAAGCACCGGCUAACUUCGUG